rnacentral:rRNA from 1 species
CCUACGGGAGGCAGCAGUGAGGAAUAUUGGUCAAUGGACGCAAGUCUGAACCAGCCAUGCCGCGUGCAGGAAGACGGCUCUAUGAGUUGUAAACUGCUUUUGUACGAGGGUAAACGCAGAUACGCGUAUCUGUCUGAAAGUAUCGUACGAAUAAGGAUCGGCUAACUCCGUGCCAGCAGCCGCGGUAAUACGGAGGAUUCAAGCGUUAUCCGGAUUUAUUGGGUUUAAAGGGUGCGUUGGAGGUCGGAUAAGUUAGAGGUUAAAUCCCGAGGGUCAAAUUCGGAAUUGCCUCUGAUACGGUUAGGUUAGAGAAUAGAUGCGGUAGGCGGAAUGUAUGGUGUAGCGGUGAAAUGCUUAGAGAGAAUAUAGAACACCGAUUGCGAAGGCAGCUUAACAGG